UAAUGUGAUCCGUGUCUUCAUUGCUGCAUAUGUUUGGAUGAUUGGAUUUGGCAACUUUUCCUACUAUUACAUCAGAAAAGAUUUUAGUCUUGCACGUUUUACUCAGGGUAUACCGAUCCUGCAAAGCCAGAUCUCUCUCGGCUGCAUGAGUGGCAUUUCAGAUCUGGACUUGAUCGUUAUAUAUGGAUCAUUGGAAUGAUAUAUGCAUAUUGUCAUCCAAAUGUUGAGAAGUGGAUGGAAAAAUUGGAGGAAACAGAAACCAAGAAGAGAGUUUCAAUCAAAGGGAUUGUAGUUGCUGUUUCCGUAUUUGUUGGUUAUUUAUGGUUCGAGUACAUUUACAAGCUCGACAAGGUUUCAUAUAACAAGCUCCAUCCCUACACCUCAUGGAUC